UCAGCGGGUAAUCUUGCUUGAUUCGAGGUCAAAACAUUGUAAAAUUGGCAACUGCUUCCAGUACUCGUUGCAUUGCUCUGCAUCUUGUACUUUCAGAAUUUGCCUAUAGUUUUCAGCAUUCAAGUACUUUGGAUGCCAACAUCAAUUCAGAUUGAGGAAUAGACGACGCUCGAACAAGCAUGCCGAAAGCAUUAGGCUUCAGGCGCAAUGUGCGUUCAAAGAUUCGAUGAUUCACUGGUUUCUGCAAUUCACAUUACGUAUCGCAUUUCGCUGCGUUCUUCAUCGAUGCAAGAGCCA
rnacentral:misc_RNA from 1 species